GAACUAAGAGCAAACUCUGGAGAAAUGUACCCUUGAAAUUGAUUAGAGCUUAAAUUUCAGAUAAAGAAAUGAAAACACACAGAGGAUAAAAUACUUGUUCUGGCAAGUGUGGCAGGGUUCAAGCAGUGGAGAGGCCCAUACGAGGAGAAACUAAGGAUUCUUGCUGACAAAAAAACAGAGACAUCUUGUAAGUUGAACCUCCAGCUUCCGCCACAUCUUCUAAGGACUGCAGUUUAGCUGACAGCUGCAACCUCAUGAGAGACCCUAAGCUGGAACCAUCAGCUAAGUAGCUUCUGCAUUCUGACUCACAGAAACUGUGAGAUGAUAAUUACUCAUUGUUUGAAACCAUUCAGUUUCGUGGUAAUUUGUUAUGCAGCAAUAAAUAACCAAUGUAGAGUUGUUCCCCGUUUUUGCUGUUAUGAAUAAAUCUGCUAUGAAUUUUCACGUACAAGUCUUUUGUGGACAUAUGUUUUCAUUUCUCUUUGGUAAGUACCUACAAGUGGAAUUUCUGGGUCAUGUGAUAGGCAUAUGUUAAACUUUAUAAGAAGGCUUCAAACUGUAUUGCAAAGUGGUUGUACUCCCACAGCAAUUUUGCGAUUUCCAGUUACUCUAUAUUCUUGCCAGAACUUAGUACUAUUAUUUUUUUGAGUUUAGCCAUGCUAGUGGGUAUGAAGUGAUAUCUCAUUGCAGUUUUAACUUACAUUUCUCUGAUACCUAAGUUGUUGCGCACCUUUUUUUUUUGGCUGCUUAUAUUAUCUUCUUUCAUGAAGCAUCUGUUCCAUUCAUUUGUCUGUAUUUUAUUGUGGUUGUCUUUUUAUGAUAGAA